rnacentral:rRNA from 1 species
UGGCGCACGGGUGAGUAACACGUGAGUAACCUGCCCCCGAGAGCGGGAUAGCCCUGGGAAACUGGGAUUAAUACCGCAUAGUAUCGAAAGAUUAAAGCAGCAAUGCGCUUGGGGAUGGGCUCGCAGCCUAUUAGUUAGUUGGUGAGGUAACGGCUCACCAAGGCGAUGACGGGUAGCCGGUCUGAGAGGAUGUCCGGCCACACUGGAACUGAGACACGGUCCAGACACCUACGGGAGGCAGCAG